GACGAACGCUGGCGGCGUGCUUAACACAUGCAAGUCGAGCGGUAAGGCCUUUCGGGGUACACGAGCGGCGAACGGGUGAGUAACACGUGGGUGAUCUGCCCUGCACUUCGGGAUAAGCCUGGGAAACUGGGUCUAAUACCGGAUAUGACCUCCUAUCGCAUGGUGGGUGGUGGAAAGAUUUAUCGGUGCAGGAUGGGCCCGCGGCCUAUCAGCUUGUUGGUGGGGUAAUGGCCUACCAAGGCGACGACGGGUAGCCGACCUGAGAGGGUGACCGGCCACAUUGGGACUGAGACACGGCCCAGACUCCUACGGGAGGCAGCAGUGGGGAAUAUUGCGCAAUGGGCGGAAGCCUGAUGCAGCGACGCCGCGUGAGGGAUGACGGCCUUCGGGUUGUAAACCUCUUUCGGCAGGGACGAAGCGCGAGUGACGGUACCUGGAGAAGAAGCACCGGCUAACUACGUG
rnacentral:rRNA from 1 species